rnacentral:rRNA from 1 species
GCCCAGCCGUAAACUUUUAUUUACAUCUUAAUCGCCAGGGAACUACGAGCUAAGCUUAAAACCCAAAGGACUUGACGGUACCCCAUAUCCCCCUAGAGGAGCCUGUCCUAUAAUCGAUAAUCCACGUUUAACCUCACCAUUUUUAGUUAAUCAGCCUGUAUACCUCCGUCGUCAGCUUACCACGUGAGCGCCAAUUAGUGAGCUUAAUGUUACUUCACCAACACGUCAGGUCAAGGUGCAGCAAAUGAAAUGGGAAGAGAUGGGCUACACUUUCUAAUGUAGAAGAAACGAAAAACUACCUAUGAAACCUAGUUAGAAGGCGGAUUUAGCAGUAAAAAGAAAUCAUCAUGUUCAUUUUAACUCGGCACUGGGGUGUGU